CGGGUUGUAAAGCCCUUUCGGUGGGGAAGAAAAGUUUCGACCUAACACGUCGGGACCUUGACGUAACCCACUAAAGAAGCACCGGCUAACUCUGUGCCAGCAGCCGCGGUAAUACAGAGGGUGCGAGCGUUAAUCGGAAUUACUGGGCGUAAAGCGCGCGUAGGCGGCUUUGCAAGUCGGGUGUGAAAUCCCCAGGCUUAACCUGGGAACUGCAUUCGAGACUGCAUCGCUAGAGUAUCGGAGAGGGAAGUGGAAUUUCAGGUGUAGCGGUGAAAUGCGUAGAUAUCUGAAGGAACAUCAGUGGCGAAAGCGACUUCCUGGACGAAUACUGACGCUCAUGUGCGAAAGCGUGGGGAGCAAACAGGAUU
rnacentral:rRNA from 14 species